rnacentral:lncRNA from 1 species
AGUAGGAGUUUUGGAGCAUUUGGCUCGGCAUGAGUUGUUCUCUUGCUAGUGUUUGGGAGUGAUGUUGUGUGCUAAUUGUGUUGGUUGGCUUAUCAUGGCGUUUUCGGAACUUGGCCAAGGUGGAGAUUGUUGGAUUAUGUGGCCAUAUACUUUAGAAUAAACAAACCAAAAGUGGACAACAUGUUUCCUUGUUUUGGGGAAAAGAAAAGGGAAUUUGUCUAAAGUUUUCUUGGUCUAUGUGGGAAGUCACGGAUGAGUUUUUGAAGUAGAAGUAAUUGCUACUUUUGAUAAAGAGUAGUAAUGAAGCCAUAAGAGAGGAAAAAACGUAGCAGAAAAAAUAGAGCAAAAACAGAGGUGCUGCAGCCCCAUUUUGAAGAGAAGAAAAAAAUGUGAUUUUCUUUCUUUGUUGGUACUCACUCAAUCAAAGUUGUAUUUGUGUAUUAGCUUUGAGCUUUGUAUAGAGAGGAAAUUAUUCACUAUAUUUCCCUCUCUAUUUGUUUCUUUGGUGAGUGAGAGUUAUUGGAUGUAUUGCGGUUUUGGGUUGUGAGAUUGCCAACACUUUGUAAACUCCCAUUUGGUUGAUAG